rnacentral:misc_RNA from 1 species
GCGUAUUUGCUGCUUGCAUCUUUUUAUGCUUUUUGCGCGAGAAGUUGGAUUCAGUGAUCUUCAAAUAUGACAGAGGUUUUAGAGUCACUAGACAUGAGCAAGAUCCAGUAAUUCCACAGACACUACCGUUGUCUUCCAUAGAUAUCGAUGAUGUUGUUGUUCCUCUGCUACAGCAGACACUGUGAUUGCAUUAACAUGUACCGUCUUUUACGGCCAA